rnacentral:lncRNA from 1 species
CUUACUGGUAGGAGUUUUUGUUGGCUUAGAACCCUCCGUCUCUUUUUCAUCUGUGUAUUUCAGUGCUCUUUUAGCUAGAGGCCUGGUGACUGGUCUAUCUGAAUUGCUCGUGGGAUUCUGAAUGUACUUGCAAGUGGGCAAAUAGAGGUCAUCGGAAUCAUCUCCUGAACCACUUGAUUCACAGAGGCUCACUUCAGACUCGUUGUUUUCUUCUCUAUUAGAGUCAUUGCUCACUUUUUGUCGGAAAGGAGUAAGAUGAACACCCUCUUCCAAAUUAAAAUUUAAACGUUCCUGGCUGAAUCAGCUUUGGUGAUAAGUUAACUUGGUCCUUGCUCCAUUGACAAGCAUUGUGUUGUACAUUUUCAGGGACUCCAGGAAGGCCGGGGGGAGGUGGGGCUGGCGGAAGUGGACGCGGCGACCCUCCUGCCGCAGGCGCGUCCAGAACGAUACCUUGGCCACUACUUCUGCAACAGCUAUCUUCCUCCUCCUCACAUUUCAAGGCUCUUCGAAGCUCUCCAGCCACGGCUAGCCCCGCGCACUGGGCCCUCCAGGACCGUACCACCGUCCGCCGUCGCCUGGAACUACCGCCGCCACAUUCGAAAUUUUCCGCCUCGCUCCUCCAUUGGUUGGCUGGGAGGCGGUCACGUGGCGCAGGAUGCACCCAACACCACCGUCGCAGGCAGAGUCCCGCCCCGCCAGGCGACGUCACGUGACGCACAUUCGCUCAAGUCCACAUCCGGGCAUCCACCUGGCCCUGGGGCGGAGCCUGCGGUCGGGUCUCGGCGACCCGCCGGGACUUUCUAAUCAGAGUCGUGGGGAUUUUACGGGUGGAGUUACUCCGAAACCUUUAAGGCCGAGUGUGAUAGGUAGUUCAAAGCUUCCUGUUUCUUCAGUCUGACAGCUUCAAAUGUCCCGGGUUGUGCUCAAAGCCUCCCUCUUGUGAGAAGAAUCUCUUUGGUUGCCUGUUAAAGCGGUCAGCCAGCUUGCAACACGGAAGCAGCUUUUAGAGGAAUUAAAACCAAAACAAGGAGCAAAUUCUGGAUUAAAAAGAUAUUUGCAACCAUUCUUCCAAUCAAUUUUAGAAAAUUUCCACCACCUCAAAAAGAAAUCCUGAUGAAGAAACAUCCUGAGAAGGUUGACAUGCUGAAUGCCUUAAAGAACUUCAAUUGGGAUGCCAGAUGAAAGUGUAACUAGAAUUUCUAUGGCUUAAAUAACGAGAGCUGGAGUGCAGUAGCAUGAUCAUGGCUCACUGCUGCCUCGACCUCCCGGGCUCAGAGAUUCUCUUGCCUCAGCCUCCUGAGUAGCUGGGACCACAGAGAUGGGGUCUCUCUGUUGCCCAGGCUUGUCUGGAACACCUGGGCUCAAAUAAUCCUCCUGCCUUG